GUCUGGCCUAAAGCACUUUUUCUGAAUUCCACCCCAGUCUGCCCUUCCUGAGUGCCUGGGCAGGGCCCUUGGGGAGCUGCUGGUGGGGCUCUGAAUGUGCCAGGGGUAUCCGGGACAUCUUGCAGGCUAGUGGGACUGCCAAAAACGAUUCUCAAAGAUGAGUGGGGAGUUGGGCAGGGAUAGGAGAAUCUGGUGUGUAGAGAAAUAGCCUGAAGGCACUUUGUGCUUGCCUGGCCUCUCUGCCCAGACGUUGGGGAGGCUGAUGCCUGCCUGUGGUUUCUUGUACUAGCCGUUAAGACCCCAGCCAUCUUCCUUGAGGGGCUUCUGCCAGCCCCCAGGGAAUGAGAAUUAGCCAAGAGCCAGGAAAUGAGAAUUAGCUGAGGACACCUUUUACCCCUGUUCCGCAGCUACCUUCUGUUCCCUGGCACAGGGCAUCCCCUUAGAAGUAGUGCAUGAAAUUCACACAGCUGGGACCUGGCAGAGAAUACAGGUGGCUUGACUGAGGCAGGGAGGCCUCCAUCUGCAGGUGGCCUGAGAGCCUGCAGAGCCUCACAGUGGCACUAGGUGGCACUCCCACCCAAGGGAGUCCUAACAGAGUGGGA
rnacentral:lncRNA from 10 species